GUGCUUCCUUUGGCAGCACAUAUACUAAAAUUGGAAUGAUACAGAGAAGAUUAGCAUGGCCCCUGCGCAAGGGUGACACGCAAAUAGCUAUUGCUUGGAACAUGGUA